rnacentral:tRNA from 1 species
CGCGGGGUAGAGCAGUUGGUAGCUCAUCGGGCUCAUAACCCGAAGGUCGUUGGUUCAAAUCCUUCCCCCGCAACCA